GACGAACGCUGGCGGCGUGCCUAAUACAUGCAAGUAGAACGCUGAAGGAGGAGCUUGCUUCUCUGGAUGGGUUGCGAACGGGUGAGUAACGCGUAGGUAACCUGCCUGGUAGCGGGGGAUAACUAUUGGAAACGAUAGCUAAUACCGCAUAAGAGUAGAUGUCGCAUGACAUUUGCUUAAAAGGUGCAAUUGCAUCACUACCAGAUGGACCUGCGUUGUAUUAGCUAGUUGGUGAGGUAACGGCUCACCAAGGCAACGAUACAUAGCCGACCUGAGAGGGUGAUCGGCCACACUGGGACUGAGACACGGCCCAGACUCCUACGGGAGGCAGCAGUAGGGAAUCUUCGGCAAUGGACGGAAGUCUGACCGAGCAACGCCGCGUGAGUGAAGAAGGUUUUCGGAUCGUAAAGCUCUGUUGUAAGAGAAGAACGAGUGUGAGAGUGGAAAGUUCACACUGUGACGGUAUCUUACCAGAAAGGGACGGCUAACUACGUG
rnacentral:rRNA from 1 species